rnacentral:lncRNA from 1 species
CUAAACAGAAAGGUUCACUCCAAAGCACCAAAGCAUCGCUUUCUCUGCUUGCCUAUCAGGCCCCAGCUGGUGACACCUGCCCACUGGCCCUGUCUCACCUGACCAAGGAAAGACAGCUGCCAUGUUGUGAAGCCGCCCUGGGGAGAGGUCCACGUAGCAAGGAACUAAGGCUUGCCAGCAGCCACAUAAAUGAGUUUGGAAGCAGAUCUCUGAGGCCUGCCAACCACCAAGUGAGUGAACUUGGAAGCAGAUCUUUCCUCAUUCCAGCCUUGAAAUGACUGAAGCUCCAGCCAACAUCUUGAUUGUAACCUUGCGAAAGAUGUUGAACCAGAACCACCUUGCUGGGCAGCACCUAGAUUCCUUACCUG